CUCCAUCUGUUAAAUCACGUAAUUCCAAAAUCUCCGCUUGCUCUCACCGACUGAAAUGUGGAAACUAAAUAUUUUCUUCCACUUCUGCUCUUCUCCAUUCUCACUUCUCUCACAGAAAAAUCUCUGUAUGUUUCGAAUUGCUCCGCCGGAUAGCUUAUCUCUCAUAGCUUGUCUCUCUGUUUUGUCUUUUGGUUUUGGCAGGCUUGUGAAUGUAUUCCUGGGUUCGACGGAAACCACUUCUUCAUGAUCGACGGCAGCCAGCUCAACGGAAACUUGUCUCUGUUUUUUUUCCUUUGUUUUUUUGUCUAAUCUGCUUGUGAUCUGAUGCUCAGAGACAAAUGAAAACGCAAGACAAUAUGAAAAAUCCUUAUACACGAGGAGAUCAAUAAUUACAAUGCAAGCAUUCUUUGUUUUCAGUACAAGUUUUUAUGUUGAUGGUCAAUGGCGAUAUGAUGAAUCCCAACAUCAUGAGAGUGGCGAAUAUAGUAUCGUCAACACAUUACUUUUGGGUAUGGAUUACAUGGAUGUUGAUAAUGAAGCCUUUCGGCGUAUGACUGUUACAAUGCAGGCCUGAGUCGCAGAUGGUCCACCGACCGAAGUGGUGCUAGGUCGAUCAACGCUGAUUUAUAGGCCUAUCCCAUCAACGUAUUUUUGUAUUAUUCUCUGCUUACGUACACUGCCAAUGAGUUACUUCUUGACCCAGGCAAGGUUUGGAUGCUUGACCAUUUGCUUUCAUUUGAGAGGCUCAAGUUCCUGUCUUUCUAAUGGUAACGUGAAUCAAUUUCAAAUCCGGAAACAUUUUGCUUACAUGUUGCCCUAGAUGUUGAUUUACCUGUGAAGCAAGCAUUUAAUAUACUGCAUGAACAGGUAUUUUUUUUCAAGAUUGAAAAUAAGUUGAAAUUGCUUUUGCUUAGUUUGGAAUAUUCUUUUAAGAAAAUGUGAUUUGUUAUUGAUAAAGGAAAAUAAUUAUUAAUCGAUAAAAAGGGAAAAAUAGUUGUUCAAAAAUUUAUUCUCUCUUUCCAUCAAACCAAUGUGCAUUGAUUAUCUCAAGUGGAAGAGAAUGGCGAAAAUAUCUUAAGUAAAUCUAUAGUGUUUUAAAUAGCAUUCACUUUCUAUUAAGCAUUUUGGCAUAUGGUGAGUUCUUUUGCUUUUGGACACCUAAAUCAUACAUAGGUGUUGCUCUUGUAUAAUUAAACCCAAGUGCUGGUACAAUAAUGAAAAUAAUCAGCGUGUAUGCAUGUGCAUGCAUGUGUUAAUUGGUGUGAAUGAAUUCGCUUCUGUCGAUUUAUGUUGGAUUCUGGUAUGUGAUCGGUAAGCUAAUGGUUCUGGUUGAUGGGCUGCUACAUUGUUGAUCCAGACUGGCAUUGUUUUAAUCUUAUCAAUUUUGCAAAUGAUCUGGCAGGAGUUAAAGUUCACCAUCGCCUUCGUAACGUAGUUGAAGACACUGAUAUGCUUGAGAAUAUUGAAAUUGGAGAGCAGAAGCGACAAGAUGAGGCAUGCAAGGCUGCGAAGAAGAAAACAGGGAUCUAUGAUGAUAAGUAGGAUGAAUGUUCGGAUCAAUACUUUAUUCCAAUGGCCAGUUGUAAUAGAACUUAAAUGGAUCUAGUAUCCAUGACUUUCUUCUAUCAAUUGUUAAUUAUGCUUUGGUGUUUCUCUUGUGACCCGUGUACAUGGGCUAUACUUGUUGCAAUCAUUAAAGUUUCUUACUUACCUAUAAAAAAUAUUUUCGUGAUGUCUUAUCAUUCAUAAUCUUACCAAAAAUAGCUAAUGACACGUUUCUUGUGGGACUUUAGAUUUAAUGAUGAAGCCUGAUCAGAGAAGAAAAUCCUGCCACGGGAUGUUGAUCCCACUGCAGAUGAGGGACUAGCUCUGGAUGAAAGUGGACAUUUCUCUGGUGACGUAGAGAAGAAGCUCCAAGAGGUCCGUAAGAAGAUAGAGGGUUCUUCCACAAAUAAUCACUUUGAGGAUCUCAACUCAUUUGAGAAGAUCUCAUCAGAUUACUCUACUCCACAAAAAAUGCUUCAAUUUAAAAAGCCUAAGAAAAAGAAAUCCUUGUAGAAGGAAGAGGAGCUGGAUUUAGAUGUCCUUGAAGCAGAGGCUCUUAUCUGCUGGUCUGGGUGUUGGGGAUCUUGGUUCCCAGAAGGAUGAAAGGAGGCAAGCCACAAGAGAGGAGCAAGAAAGAGCUGAGGCUGAAUUGAGAAAACAUGCAUACCAGUCAGCCUGUGCAAAAGCUAAUGAGGCAUCGCAAUGAUAAUGGCAGCACAAAAUGAUGCAUUACUGGAAGAGAUAAUUGGAAGUAGUUUUGGAUCAGCUUCAAGCAGUUCUACUGAUCCGAUCAUAAAAAUAUAUGAAAUCACAGAAAGACUGAUAAUUGCUCCGACAAUGACGAAAUCCACAUUUUUGGUUAAAGGCAAAUUUAGAAUGGUUGAUUUUCAUCAAUCAUUCCAUUACAUGUCAUGCAAGAAUUGCAAUAAAGUAGUUGGCUACAGCGCGGCGAAAACUUCCUGUGUUAUAGUUGCAAGAAUAUGACGAUUGCACAACCAAGAUUUUUUUCAUGAGUAUUCAGUGGCUUGGUCUAUUGAGAAGCUGACUCACAAGGUGGUCGGAAGUUUCCAUGUGAGGUGAAGCUAGGCUAAGGGCGAAGAGAAUUUGCUCUGUUUUUUAUUUCCCGAAACAGAGAACACAGUGGAACCUAUCUUACGGUAUUAUGGUUGCUACGGUUUGCCAUUGAUUGCUCAUCUAUGGAGGAGAUGCUCAUAGUGUAGAGGAUGUUGCUCGGUUUUGGUUUCUCACGUUGUGUUUCUUUCAUUUAGAAGCAUGCAAGGGAUUAUUUUUGGCAGAAUAGUUUAAAGAAAUGGAAGUAGGAAUAGAAAAUAGUGGCCAAAGGUUCUUGUGGGUGGUAAGAAAUCCACCACCAAAGGAGUAUGAGCUUGCCAAGCUCUACUGCAGUCAGGUGGCUUCCGCCUGCACAGGGGUAUAGAACUACGACAUCGUCCAUGUUGCGUUGGGAGAAACAAAGCAGUAGCGUGGAGAGAGAAUGGAGGGAAGAGAGGAAUUUGAAGUGAAGAAGAUAAAGAGAGAGAUGC